UUUUGCAAUGAGCAUAUAUUACCUUUUAGAAAAAGGAAAAAAUGGACUCUUCACCUCAAAACUGUAUUGUUUCCUUCAUCUGUAAGCAUGCACUGCAAUGAGUCAGUUUGCUAUGAACAGAAUUCUACUCUUUAAAUGGACACAAGGAACACCUAAAAUGCUACUGCAACUCAGAUGGCUGUUGUCAAACUCAGAAUUUAAAAAAGCUUCAGAUCAACCUGGACUCGCUCUCUCCCCACAUUCUCAUCUUUCAGCAAAUUCGGCUCCUCCUAUGGACCGUGACACUUGAAAGAGAGACUCCCAAGCAGCCCGUGCAGAGCCCAAUGCUGGGGCUCGACUUCACAAAACCGCAAGAUCAUGACCUGAGCCGAAACCAAGAGUCGGUUGGUUAACCAACCGAGCCACCGAGGCAUCCCAAGGAGGAAUAAAAAGGAUCCAGGAAGGGGUGCCUGGGUGGCUCAGUCCGUCAAACCUCCAACCUCGGCUCUGGUCGUCAUCUCGCGGCUCGUGGGUUCAAGCCCCGCCUCCAGCUCUGUGCUGACACCUCAGAGCCUGAAGCCUGCUUCAGAUUCUGUGUCUCCCUCUCUCUGCCCCUCCCCUGCUUGUACUCUGUCUCUCCCUCCCUCCCUCUCUCAAAAAUAAACAUUUAAAAAAAAAG